rnacentral:tRNA from 1 species
GCUCGGGUGGCGAAACCGGUAGACGCGAGGGACUUAAAAUCCCUUGUCCCAAAGGACAUGCGGGUUCGAUCCCCGCCCCGAGCA